UGAGGAAUAUUGGUCAAUGGGCGGGAGCCUGAACCAGCCAAGCCGCGUGAGGGAAGAAGGCGCUCAGCGUCGUAAACCUCUUAGCCGGGGAACAAAGAGCUUCUCGUGAAGGAGCGUUGAGCGUACCCGGAGAAUAAGCAUCGGCUAACUCCGUGCCAGCAGCCGCGGUAAUACGGAGGAUGCGAGCGUUAUCCGGAUUUAUUGGGUUUAAAGGGUGCGCAGGCGGACGCGCAAGUCUGCGGUCAAAUUCCGGGGCUCGACCCCGGACCGCCGUGGAAACUGUGCGACUAGAGUGGGCGAGAGGCAUGCGGAAUGCGCGGUGUAGCGGUGAAAUGCUUAGAGAUCGCGCAGAACUCCGAUUGCGAAGGCAGCAUGCCGGCGCCUUACUGACGCUCAUGCACGAAAGCGUGGGGAUCGAACAGGAUUAGAUACC
rnacentral:rRNA from 1 species